rnacentral:lncRNA from 1 species
GAUAAAUACUCACUUAUCCCCAAGAAUUAAUUAAUUAUCUAUUUGAUUUUUACAUCAAUGAAUCAUAGUAAGCAUGAGUUACUAUAUAUAAUCAUCUUAGAGAAAAAGUCAAAAGAUAUGCAUAAAUGACUCUAAAAUUAGCUAUAUCUACAUCAUGAACUUAUGGAUUUAAUUACUAACAUUUUAUAACCUUUUUCCAAGGUUUAUCACCUUGAGAAUCUAUUUCAAUUUAUCAGGAAUCAAGGUUCAAAAUUUUAGAAUUUUAUUCCAAGGAGAUUAACUUCUACAGACUUGUCAAAGUGACAAGGAACACCAUGGGAUGACAAAGUUGAUGGCCCAAGAAAGGGUAGAUUGGAGCACGAAAAAUUAGAUACAAUGUCUAAAAGAUAGGGCUUUACUAAGCCCACAAAAGGAUAGAGAAAGAAGGCCCAAGAAAGGCGUGGGUAUAUAAGCUUUGAAAAGGGCAAACAAAGGUCUUCUUUUUUUUCGCGCGCAAAAGGAGGUGGCGGCUGGGUGACAGGCAGCGGAGGCUUCAGGGUUGCAAGCACGA